AGUGAACGCUGGCGGUAGGCCUAACACAUGCAGGUCGAACGGCAGCACAGUAAGAGCUUGCUCUUACGGGUGGCGAGUGGCGGACGGGUGAGGAAUACAUCGGAAUCUACUUUUUCGUGGGGGAUAACGUAGGGAAACUUACGCUAAUACCGCAUACGACCUACGGGUGAAAGCAGGGGAUCUUCGGACCUUGCGCGAUUGAAUGAGCCGAUGUCGGAUUAGCUAGUUGGCGGGGUAAAGGCCCACCAAGGCGACGAUCCGUAGCUGGUCUGAGAGGAUGAUCAGCCACACUGGAACUGAGACACGGUCCAGACUCCUACGGGAGGCAGCAGUGGGGAAUAUUGAACAAUGGGCGCAAGCCUAAUCCAGCCAUACCGCGUGGGUGAAGAAGGCCUUCGGGUUGUAAAGUCCUUUUGUUGGGAAAGAAAAGCAGCAGGUUAAUACCCCGCUGUUCUGACGGUACCCAAAGAAUAAGCACCGGCUAACUUCGU
rnacentral:rRNA from 1 species